GACGAACGCUGGCGGCGUGCUUAACACAUGCAAGUCGAACGGAAAGGCCUCUUUCGGGGGGUACUUGAGUGGCGAACGGGUGAGUAACACGUGAGUAACCUGCCCUUGACUUUGGGAUAACUUCAGGAAACUGGGGCUAAUACCGGAUAGGAGCUCCUGCUGCAUGGUGGGGGUUGGAAAGUUUCGGCGGUUGGGGAUGGACUCGCGGCUUAUCAGCUUGUUGGUGGGGUAGUGGCUUACCAAGGCUUUGACGGGUAGCCGGCCUGAGAGGGUGACCGGCCACAUUGGGACUGAGAUACGGCCCAGACUCCUACGGGAGGCAGCAGUGGGGAAUAUUGCACAAUGGGUGGAAGCCUGAUGCAGCAACGCCGUGUGCGGGAUGACGGCCUUCGGGUUGUAAACCGCUUUCGCUCAUGACGAAGCUUUGUGUGACGGUAGUGGGUAAAGAAGCACCGGCUAACUACGUG
rnacentral:rRNA from 1 species